CCAAUAGCGUAUAUUAAAGUUGUUGCAGUUAAAAAGCUCGUAGUUGGAUUUCGGGGCAGCCUGGCUGGUCCGCCGCAAGGCGAGUACUGGUCAGCCGCCCUUCCUCUCGAAAGCCCCGACUGCUCUUCGUUGCAGUGGUCGGGUAGUUCGGGACGUUUACUUUGAAAAAAUUAGAGUGUUCAAGGCAGGCCUACGCCUGAAUACAUUAGCAUGGAAUAAUGGAAGAGGACCUCGGUCCUAUUUUGUUGGUUUCCAGGGCCGAAGUAAUGAUUAAGAGGGACAGUUGGGGGCAUUCGUAUUUAAUUGUCAGAGGUGAAAUUCUCGGAUUUAUGAAAGACGAACAACUGCGAAAGCAUUUGCCAAGGAUGUUUUCAUUAA
rnacentral:rRNA from 1 species